rnacentral:rRNA from 1 species
UACGUAGGGACCGAGCGUUGUCCGGAAUCAUUGGGCGUAAAGAGCGUGUAGGCGGCUACUUAAGUCCUGCGUGAAAUCUUGCGGCUCAACCGCAAGCGGUCGUGGGAAACUGGGUGGCUAGAGUGCGGGAGAGGAGAGUGGAAUUCCUGGUGUAGCGGUGAAAUGCGUAGAUAUCAGGAGGAACACCGGUGGUGUAGACGGCUUUCUGGACCGUAACUGACGCUGAAACACGAAAGCGUGGGUAGCAAACAGG